rnacentral:rRNA from 1 species
UGGACUGGGAUAACGUUGGGAAACUGACGCUAAGACCGGAUGUGCCGAGAGGUGAAAUAUUUUAUAGCCAGUAGAUGAGCUCGCGUCAGAUUAGCUAGUUGGUGGUGUAAGGGACCACCAAGGCGAUGAUCUGUAGCUGGUCUGAGAGGAUGAUCAGCCACACUGGGACUGAGACACGGCCCAGACUCCUACGGGAGGCAGCAGUGGGGAAUUUUCCGCAAUGGGCGCAAGCCUGACGGAGCAAUACCGCGUGAGGGAGGAAGGCUUUUGGGUCGUAAACCUCUUUUCUUUGGGAAGAUAAUGACGGUACCAGAGGAAUCAGCAUCGGCUAACUCCGUGCCAGCAGCCGCGGUAAUACGGAGGAUGCAAGCGUUAUCCGGAAUUAUUGGGCGUAAAGCGUUCGUAGGUGGACCAACAAGUCAGCAGUUAAAGCGUGGAGCUAAACUCCAUAAGGGCUGUUGAAACUGAUGGACUAGAGUGCGGUAGGGGUUACGGGAAUUCCCAGUGUAGCGGUGAAAUGCGUAGAUAUUGGGAAGAACACCAGCGGCGAAAGCGCGUAACUGGGCCUGCACUGACACUGAGGGACGAAAGCUAGGGGAGCGAAAGGGAUUAGAUACCCCUGUAGUCCUAGCCGUAAACGAUGACAACUAGGUGUUGGACGUAUCGACCCGUUCAGUGCCGAAGCUAACGCGU